AUUGAACGCUGGCGGAAUGCUUUACACAUGCAAGUCGAACGGCAGCACGGACUUCGGUCUGGUGGCGAGUGGCGAACGGGUGAGUAAUGUAUCGGAACGUGCCCAGUCGUGGGGGAUAACGUAGUAAAAAUUACGCUAAUACCGCAUACGAUCGAUGGAUGAAAGCGGGGGAUCGCAAGACCUCGCGCGAUUGGAGCGGCCGAUAUCAGAUUAGGUAGUUGGUGGGGUAAAGGCCCACCAAGCCAACGAUCUGUAGCUGGUCUGAGAGGACGACCAGCCACACUGGAACUGAGACACGGUCCAGACUCCUACGGGAGGCAGCAGUGGGGAAUUUUGGACAAUGGGCGAAAGCCUGAUCCAGCCAUUCCGCGUGCAGGAUGAAGGCCCUCGGGUUGUAAACUGCUUUUGUACAGAACGAAAAGGUUUCUACUAAUACUAGGAGCUCAUGACGGUACUGUAAGAAUAAGCACCGGCUAACUACGUGCCAGCCGCCGCUGUAA
rnacentral:rRNA from 1 species